AGUGAGGCUGAGACUCCGCCGUGGGAAUUUCCACACGGGCUGAAGAUGCCUAGCACUUGGGAGGCGGAGGCGGGAGGCUCUGCUGGCCGGAGAGCACCCCCAUCCUCAUUUAGACCUGGAGACGCUCCUGUGGUGCCACUUUGCCGCCAGCCUGACGUUCUCAGGAGGUAUUUUAAUCGGGGGGGGGGGGGAUGUUUUAUCUAAACACACAAUUGGUCAAUUUCAAUAAACAAGGGGAAAAUUACAGAAUAACACCGAAACCACAGAAUGUGGUUCAACAACUUGGCACUGGGGGGGUGGCGGGUAGACAGCAGGGGCCGGAACAGGCCCGGGGUGUCCCAUGGCAGUCCUGUCUACACCCCCAGGCCACAUGGCCUCACACCUGCCCUGUGUAUCUGUCAUGCGCCAGGCAGUACCCACAAGACUCAUACUCACUGAAAGAGCAUCUGCCCAGGGCCGUGCCUCUUGUUGUCAUGGAAGGAGCCCUGGUACACUUGUCCAUCCCGGUCCACCAGAAACCCGUGUCCUGGAGAAGGGACCGAGAGACAGACUUGGCUUUGUGCCUCCUCCUGCAUCUGAGAAGGGAUCUGCCCUCCGCUCCUUGGAGGGCGGGCAGGAGCAAAGUAGCAAGUCUAGGAGGCAUGGGGCUCAGGGCCCCCCAGGAACAUGACAGACCCUCCAGACCUGGCUACACAGAGGCCUCAGCACGGCUCGGUGAGGCUCUGAACGGGAAGGGCAGAUGUGCUUUGGGACAGGUCGGUGAGCUGACAGGGCAGCAAAAAUGGCCCUGGGGUCCAGUUCUGAAAGGUGCGGUUGAGGGGCCCUGCGGACUGCCAUCUGAGGCUGCACAGGCUCUGCGUGCUGCUGGGGUGAGGAUGGGUGCAGUUUGGGCCUGUCGUUUGUUUUCACAAGAAACUUCAAGUUCACAGUGAGGAGGGCAGGGCUUGACCUGAACGAGGAGAAACUCAAAAGAGGAUGGGGGUUCGUAAACUGCGGCAUUUUCAGAUUUUGGACAACUCAGAAAUUUGAGAGUAUUUCUGCUUCUUUUGUUUUUUUUGUUGUCGUUGCUUUGCUUUUGAGACGGAGUCCCGCUCUGUCACCAGGCUGGAGUGCAGUGGCACGAUCUCGGCUCACUACAACCUCUGCCUCCUGGGUUCAAGUGAUUCUCUUGCCUCAGCCUCCUGAGUAGCUGGGAUUACAGGUGUGUGCCACCAUGCCCAGCCAUUUUUGUAUUUUUAGUAGAGUCGGAGUUUCACCAUUUUGCCAAGGCUGGUCUCAAACUCCUCAUCUCAGGUGAUCCGCCUGCCUUGGCCUCCCAAAGUGCUGGGAUUACAAGCGUGAGCUACCACGCCUGGCCUCUGCUUCUUAACAUAAGGAAAACACUGGAAAAAGAAGCUCCGUCUGUGGUGGAGGGUAUUAUGUGCUUGACUCCUGUCUCGGGUGCGGGUGGCCUUUUGGCUGUGGGACUACGGCCCGUGCUGGGCCUGGCUUGGCUGGGUAGAGGGACAGGGCACAGCCCCCUCCUGGCUUGAGUCUGGCCUCCUGACUUGCUUGGGCCAACAGAAUGUGGAGGAAGUGGCUAAGCUGUCCAAGACUACUGGGCAAGGAGCUGGGCUUCCCAGGCCUAUGAGGACCUCAGGGACCCUCAGGCCUGGCAGAGUUGCUGUGACUAUAGCCAUUUAGUGACCCCACAUAGACCAGACCAGAAGCCCCUCCCUGCAGGGCCCAGGCCAACCUACUGACCCCAGGAUCAGGAGCAGUUAAUAAAGCAGUGGCCAUUUUAACCCCUAAGCCACGGGCGUCUGUUCCGCGGUAGCGGAUGACAGAGCUGCAUCAAGCGCCGCAGGACCCGCUGGGCAUACUGGUGUAUGCCGGGCAUAGGACAUGGCCUGGUGGUGCGGAGAAGAGGGCAUGGGCCCCCUACCUCCUUUCCAACCCUCUGAAGUCAGGCAGGCCCUCUCAGAGGUUCCUGAACCCAAGUGGACGUAGGAUUCCAUGUCCUGAAAGCGCCCACCCUCACAGCACCCGGCUCCUGUGGGCGCCAGACCUUCCCGCAUGCCGUGGGAGACCUCCCCUUCAUAACAUCCGCCGGCUUUGUACUCCAUGACGCCGUAGCCUUGAGGCUCUCCCAGAACAAACUGUCCAGAGAAGGUGUCUCCUGCAUGUGGACAAGGAGGAGGGGAGACAGGAGGUUCAGUUCAGGGCUGCGGCCCCAGUCGGCUCUCCUCUGUCCCUGGCCCAUGACACGCAGGAACCAUUCCAGAAUGGACGUCCCUGCCUCCAUCAUACUACUCAGUCUGCUUCAUGAGGGAAAACAUGGUAAGCAGGUCUGGUCUCCCCAACAGCUGGGCAUGCAGACAGCCCCAGGCAGACACUCUCUUUGGGCAUCUAUCCCGAGGGCAAAGGACCCUCUGGUCGGUUUGCAGGGUGAAGGGUGAGGUUUUUCCCUGGCUCUUUAAAAACUGAAAGCCAAGCCUGAGAGAAAACACCUCCACUGAGAACCCACCGACCCCUCUGGCGUGAGGGUCUGAGGUUCCUGGACACACAGCUCCCGGCAACGAAUCCCCAGAGCUGGUUUCCCAUCUAGGGAUACAAUGUGGCUGAAAUAGCUUUAAAUAAAAAAGAAAUAGUGUAACUUGGGACAGAUAAAUCUUUAUUCUAGAAAAGUGUCUCCGGAAGCCUGAGUUGCUCUCAGCGGUGACCACAGAGCCUCAGUCAGGUCCCCAGGGCUUCUCGGUAGGCCAGGCCUCUCACGGCACAAAGCUUCCCGUCUACACGUCACGCCUUCUGCAUCUAGACUCGGCGGACCAACUGAGCCCGAUGGGUUAUGAGAAAGGAGUGAAUGUGCCAUCCCAGCUAGAGCUCACCUGACCAGGCCCAGUGCCGGCGGCCUUCUCCCGUGAUCUCUCCGUCCACAAACGCCCCUUCGUAAUAACUGCCAUCUUUAAAUAACAACUUCCCGUGACCUGGCAGGAGAAAUCGUCACGUGAACUCAGACAGUGGUUGGGUUGACUGCGAAUGACACUGUGCAGUGUUGGGCCUGUUUCUCAGAACCAAGAGCUUGGCUUCAAAACUUGUGUUUGGCUCCAUCACUCAUGCUAUACAUGUAUUU
rnacentral:lncRNA from 1 species